rnacentral:pre_miRNA from 1 species
AAACUACUCCCUUCGUCUGAAAAUAUUUUUCAUCAAAAUGGAUAAAAGGAGAUGUAUCUAGAUGUAUUUUAGUUGUAUAUAUAUAUUUUUUUAUUUAUUUUGAUGACAAGUAUUUUCGGACGAAGAAAAUACAUA